UACGUAGGGCGCAAGCGUUGUCCGGAAUUAUUGGGCGUAAAGAGCUCGUAGGCGGCUUGUCGCGUCGGUUGUGAAAGCCCGGGGCUUAACUCCGGGUCUGCAGUCGAUACGGGCAGGCUAGAGUUCGGUAGGGGAGAUCGGAAUUCCUGGUGUAGCGGUGAAAUGCGCAGAUAUCAGGAGGAACACCGGUGGCGAAGGCGGAUCUCUGGGCCGAUACUGACGCUGAGGAGCGAAAGCGUGGGGAGCGAACAGG
rnacentral:rRNA from 1 species